rnacentral:sRNA from 1 species
AGUAACAUUAAAUAAUUUCAUUGUCUGGAUUUUUUUUGUACCAUAGCCUACUCAUGAAGGUUACUUCUCUUGUUUGGAUAUCUGGACGCUCUUUUUGGACUAUCUGACAAGUAAAAUUAAAAGUCGUCUUGGAGACAAGGAAGCAGUUCUCAACAGGUACGAAGACGCCCUGGUGCUCCUCCUCACAGAGGUGUUGAAUCGAAUCCAGUUCAGAUACAACCAAGCCCAGCUGGAGGAGUUGGAUGACGAGACUCUGGAUGACGAUCAGCAGACGGAGUGGCAGCGGUACUUACGGCAGAGCUUGGAGGUGGUGGCCAAAGUGAUGGAGCUCCUGCCCACGCACGCCUUCUCCACACUGUUCCCUGUUCUUCAGGACAAUUUAGAAGUUUAUUUGGGAUUACAACAGUUUAUAGUCACUUCAGGGUCAGCUGAAAAUUCUUACUAUUUUUUGUGGACAUUUGUGAAUAGAGGGAUCCAAAAACCAGGGAAGUGACCGAAUCAAGGGAUGUUUUGUCCUUCAUCUUAGCAUCCUCCUUGUUCAGUUUGAAGAAGUUGUGUUGAAAAGACACAGGUUGAACAUC